rfam:Pristionchus pacificus strain PS312 contig11878, whole genome shotgun sequence.
UCUUCAUUUCCCACACUCUCUCACCGGUAAGAGAGGCGAGAGAGUGUGCGAAAUGAAGAGA